rnacentral:rRNA from 1 species
GUAGGUGGCAAGCGUUGUCCGGAAUUAUUGGGCGUAAAGCGCGCGCAGGCGGUUCUUUAAGUCUGAUGUGAAAGCCCACGGCUCAACCGUGGAGGGUCAUUGGAAACUGGAGAACUUGAGUACAGAAGAGGAAAGCGGAAUUCCACGUGUAGCGGCGAAAUGCGUAGAGAUGUGGAGGAACACCAGUGGCGAAGGCGGCUUUCUGGUCUGUAACUGACGCUGAGGCGCGAAAGCGUGGGGAACAAACAGGGAUUAGAUACCCUGGUAGUCCACGCCGUAAACGAUGAGUGCUAAGUGUUAGGGGGGUUUCCGCCCCCUUAGUGCUGCAGCUAACGCAUUAAGCACUCCGCCUGGGGAUACGGCCGCAAGGCUG